GGAAGGGACGCAUUUAUUAGA
rnacentral:siRNA from 1 species